rnacentral:lncRNA from 1 species
CCUCACAUCAAAUUUUAUAAGGUGUAGACCUACUAUCAGGAGUCUGCUCGCUCCUCCAGGAACUUAUCUCAGUGAUAACUCACUUGCGAAGUCAAAGCCCGUCAGCUGCUGUCAGAGCUCAUAGACUGAAACGGACCUGGGUAGGAGACUUUUCAACAAAAGUCAUCUAGAUCACCACAGCCUACCGCACCCUAGAUGUCCUGGAACUUGCUUUGUAGACCAGACUGGAUUGGAACUUACAGAGAUCCGCCU